UGAAUACGAGAUGCUACGGCAUUGAAGCAGUGUAUGUCAGACUUCCAAGAAAAGCUCGCAAUGUCAUAAACAAUAAAUGCCUGUACCAUAACCGACACAGGUGGGUAGGUAGAGUAUACUAAGGGGCGCGAGAUAACUCUCUCUAAGGAACUCGGCAAAAUGACUCCGUAACUUCGGGAGAAGGAGUGCCUUAUUUUAUAAGGUUGCAAUAACAAGAUCCAAGCAACUGUUUACCAAAAACACAGGUCUCCGCUAAGUCGAAAGACGAUGUAUGGGGGCUGACGCCUGCCCAGUGCCAGAAGGUUAAAGAAGUUGGUUAGCUUCGGCGAAGCUGAUGACUGAAGCCCUGGUGAACGGCGGCCGUAACAAUAACGGUCCUAAGGUAGCGAAAUUCCUUGUCGGGUAAGUUCCGACCCGCACGAAAGGCGUAAUGAUUUGGAUACUGUCUCGGAGAGGGGCUCGGUGAAAUAGACUUGUCUGUGAAGAUGCGGACUACCUGCACCUGGACAGAAAGACCCUAUGAAGCUUUACUGUAACUUGAGAUUGAAAUUGGACUUUAUUUGCGCAGUAUAGGUGGGAGACGUUGAGAAUAUUCUUGCGGGAAUAUUGGAGUCAUCAGUGAGAUACCACUCUUGUAAUGUUAGAUUUCUAACUUUGUAUCAUUAUCUGGUCAAAGGACAGUUUCAGGCGGGCAGUUUGACUGGGGCGGUCGCCUCCUAAACGGUAACGGAGGCGCACAAAGGUUUCCUCUGAACGUGUAGAAAUCGUAUCUAGAGUGUAAAGGCAUAAGGAAGCUUGACUGUGAGACCUACAAGUCGAGCAGGGACGAAAGUCGGUCUUAGUGACCUGACGGUGCUGAGUGGAAAGGCCGUCACUCAACGGAUAAAAGUUACUCUAAGGAUAACAGGCUGAUCUCCCCCAAGAGUUCACAUCGACGGGGAGGUUUGGCACCUCGAUGUCGGCUCAUCGCAUCCUGGGGCGGUAGUACGUCCCAAGGGUUGGGCUGUUCGCCCAUGAAAGCGGUACGCGAGCUGGGUUCAGAACGUCGUGAGACAGUUCGGUCCAUAUCCGGUGUAGGCGUUAGAAUAUUGAGAGGAGCCUUCUUUAGUACGAGAGGACCGAGAAGGACAUACCUCUGGUGUACCAGUUAUCGUGCCAACGGUAAACGCUGGGUAGCUAUGUAUGGAGUGGAUAACCGCUGAAAGCAUCUAAGUGGGAAGCCCACCUCAAGAUAAGUAUUCUCA
rnacentral:rRNA from 1 species